rnacentral:tRNA from 1 species
GCGGGGGUUCCCGAGCGGCCAAAGGGGCUAGGUUCAGGGCCUAGUGACUUAGUGUCUUCAAGAGUUCGAAUCUCUUCCCUCGCA